rnacentral:rRNA from 1 species
GAAAGCCCCGGCUAACUACGUGCCAGCAGCCGCGGUAAUACGUAGGGGCGAAGCGUUAUCCGGAAUGAUUGGGCGUAAAGCGUCCGCAGGUGGCAGUUCAAGUCUGCUGCACGAAGAGGAAAAGGCCAAGAUGGUGGUGGAUCCGAAGGCAGUAGCCAAGGAGCGCAAGACGCUGAUCCUUGGCUCUCUGCGUGUGCGUCACGACGGCC